rnacentral:lncRNA from 7 species
ACUCGGUCCGUGCUCUCCCCGUUCCCUCCGCACUCCGCGCAUCUCCGAGGGCAGCGCCCGGGUUUGUUUCCGCAGAGGGUUAUUCAGCGUCGUACAAAGAAGGAACAAUGCCAACAUUGAAGCCCUCGGUUGGAGUCUGCACAGUUGGAGAUCUUUGGUGCCAUUUUAGACAUCUUUGGAUUUCAUCAAUCAAACUGACUGCAAUUUUCCAUAAAAACCCUGAAUUUGGGUCAGAAAGUGGGCAAAGCAGAUAAAGAUCGCUCGAGCUGUCUUAUAAGAUGAUAAAUAGAUAUCCUUUCAGUC